rnacentral:rRNA from 1 species
CAAGGAAUUUUCGUCAAUGGGCGCAAGCCUGAACGAGCAACGCCGCGUGGAGGAUGACGGCCUUCGGGUUGUAAACUCCUUUUUCGGGGGACGAUGAUGACGGUACCCCGGGAAUAAGGCUCGGCUAACUCUGUGCCAGCAGCCGCGGUAAUACAGAGGAGCCAAGCGUUGUCCGGAUUGACUGGGCGUAAAGCGCACGCAGGCGGCACCGCGCGUGGGGUGUGAAAUCUGGCCGCUUAACGGCCAGGCGCCAUCCCAUACGGCGGAGCUGGAGUGAUGCAGAGGUCGGUGGAAUUGCCGGUGUAGUGGUGAAAUGCGUAGAGAUCGGCAGGAACACCCAGGGGGAAACCAGCCGACUGGGCAUCUACUGACGCUGAUGUGCGAGAGCGUGGGGAGCGAACCGGAUUAGAUACCCGGGUAGUCC